rnacentral:rRNA from 1 species
AUUGAACGCUGGCGGCAUGCUUUACACAUGCAAGUCGAACGGCAGCGCGGGCUUCGGCCUGGCGGCGAGUGGCGAACGGGUGAGUAAUGCAUCGGAACGUGCCCAGUAGUGGGGGAUAGCCCGGCGAAAGCCGGAUUAAUACCGCAUACGACCUGAGGGUGAAAGCGGGGGACCGAAAGGCCUCGCGCUAUUGGAGCGGCCGAUGUCGGAUUAGCUAGUUGGUGGGGUAAAGGCUUACCAAGGCGACGAUCCGUAGCUGGUCUGAGAGGACGACAGGCCACACUGGGACUGAGACACGGCCCAGACUCCUACGGGAGGCAGCAGUGGGGAAUUUUGGACAAUGGGGGCAACCCUGAUCCAGCCAUGCCGCGUGCGGGAAGAAGGCCUUCGGGUUGUAAACCGCUUUUGUUCGGGAAGAAAUCCUCUGGGCUAAUACCCCGGGGGGAUGACGGUACCGGAAGAAUAAGCACCGGCUAACUACGUG